rnacentral:rRNA from 1 species
AGAGUUUGAUCCUGGCUCAGAGCGAACGCUGGCGGCAGGCUUAACACAUGCAAGUCGAACGGGCGUAGCAAUACGUCAGUGGCAGACGGGUGAGUAACGCGUGGGAACGUACCUUUUGGUUCGGAACAACCCAGGGAAACUUGGGCUAAUACCGGAUAAGCCCUUACGGGGAAAGAUUUAUCGCCGAAAGACCGGCCCGCGUCUGAUUAGCUUGUUGGUGAGGUAACGGCUCACCAAGGCGACGAUCAGUAGCUGGUCUGAGAGGAUGAUCAGCCACAUUGGGACUGAGACACGGCCCAAACUCCUACGGGAGGCAGCAGUGGGGAAUAUUGGACAAUGGGCGCAAGCCUGAUCCAGCCAUGCCGCGUGAGUGAUGAAGGCCCUAGGGUUGUAAAGCUCUUUUGUGCGGGAAGAUAAUGACGGUACCGCAAGAAUAAGCCCCGGCUAACUUCGUGCCAGCAGCCGCGGUAAUACGAAGGGGGCUAGCGUUGCUCGGAAUUACUGGGCGUAAAGGGUGCGUAGGCGGGUCUUUAAGUCAGGGGUGAAAUCCUGGAGCUCAACUCCAGAACUGCCUUUGAUACUGAGGAUCUUGAGUUCGGGAGAGGUGAGUGGAACUGCGAGUGUAGAGGUGAAAUUCGUAGAUAUUCGCAAGAACACCAGUGGCGAAGGCGGCUCACUGGCCCGAUACUGACGCUGAGGCACGAAAGCGUGGGGAGCAAACAGGAUUAGA